rnacentral:rRNA from 1 species
AUUGAACGCUGGCGGCAGGCUUAACACAUGCAAGUCGAGCGGAGAUGAGGUGCUUGCACCUUAUCUUAGCGGCGGACGGGUGAGUAAUGCUUAGGAAUCUGCCUAUUAGUGGGGGACAACAUUCCGAAAGGAAUGCUAAUACCGCAUACGCCCUACGGGGGAAAGCAGGGGAUCUUCGGACCUUGCGCUAAUAGAUGAGCCUAAGUCGGAUUAGCUAGUUGGUGGGGUAAAGGCCUACCAAGGCGACGAUCUGUAGCGGGUCUGAGAGGAUGAUCAGCGACACUGGGACUGAGACACGGCCCAGACUCCUACGGGAGGCAGCAGUGGGGAAUAUUGGACAAUGGGCGGAAGCCUGAUCCAGCCAUGCCGCGUGUGUGAAGAAGGCCUUUUGGUUGUAAAGCACUUUAAGCGAGGAGGAGGCUACCUGGAUUAAUACUCUAGGAUAGUGGACGUUACUCGCAGAAUAAGCACCGGCUAACUCUGUGCCAGCAGCCGCGGUAACAC